AGAUAUGUAUUAUGUUGUUGGUCCACGUAAACGGACAACAUUCUAUAAAUGACGGUAUUUCGUUUAGAUAUCUUACGUAUGUGAAUCAUCUUCUAUGCAUUAAAAUCGUACAUGACUGUUACAUGUAUAACACUACGAAACAGGAACAGCACGAUAUGCACGGCACACUAACAAUGAUUGGCGUAGAGGCAAAAGUUUUGAAGAUGGUCAUUGAUGCUCGUGCUACUUACUUCAAGACAGCAUCUAAGGAUCAUUAUAAACAUGACUUAAGGGCAUUCAGUGGUUAUUGUAAUCAUGGAAAUGCAACUCUAUGGGUAUAUAAAGGUCCUGUGUUUUGA